rnacentral:rRNA from 1 species
CUAGCAGUAUCAGAGUUUGAUCCUGGCUCAGGACGAACGCUGGCGGCGUGCUUAACACAUGCAAGUCGAGCGGAAAGGCCCUUUCGGGGGUACUCGAGCGGCGAACGGGUGAGUAACACGUGAGUAAUCUGCCCUUGGCUUUGGGAUAACUACCGGAAACGGUGGCUAAUACCGGAUACGACCACUCCUUGCAUGAGGUGGUGGUGGAAAGUUUUUUCGGCCAGGGAUGUGCUCGCGGCCUAUCAGCUUGUUGGUGGGGUAAUGGCCUACCAAGGCUUCGACGGGUAGCCGGCCUGAGAGGGUGACCGGCCACACUGGGACUGAGACACGGCCCAG